CCUACGGGAGGCAGCAGUGAGGAAUAUUGGUCAAUGGACGAGAGUCUGAACCAGCCAAGCCGCGUGAAGGAUGACUGCCCUAUGGGUUGUAAACUUCUUUUAUAAAGGAAUAAAACGAGGCACGUGUGCCUUUUUGCAUGUACUUUAUGAAUAAGGAUCGGCUAACUCCGUGCCAGCAGCCGCGGUAAUACGGAGGAUCCGAGCGUUAUCCGGAUUUAGUGGGUGUAAAGGGAGCGUAGAUGGGUUGUUAAGUCAGUUGUGAAAGUUUGCGGCUCAACCGUAAGAUUGCACUUGAUACUGGCAGUCUUGAGUACAGUUGAGGUAGGCGGAAUUCGUGGUGUAGCGGUGAAAUGCUUAGAUAUCACGAAGAACCCCGAUUGCGAAGGCAGCUUACUAAACUGUGACUGACAUUGAUGCUCGAAAGUGUGGGUAUCAAACAGGAUUAGAUACCCGUGUAGUC
rnacentral:rRNA from 1 species